rnacentral:rRNA from 1 species
AUUGAACGCUGGCGGCAGGCCUAACACAUGCAAGUCGAGCGGUAGCACAGGAGAGCUUGCUCUCUGGGUGACGAGCGGCGGACGGGUGAGUAAUGUCUGGGAAACUGCCUGAUGGAGGGGGAUAACUACUGGAAACGGUAGCUAAUACCGCAUAACGUCUUCGGACCAAAGUGGGGGACCUUCGGGCCGUCACGCCAUCAGAUGUGCCCAGAUGGGANAGCUAGUAGGUGGGGUAAUGGCUCACCUAGGCGACGAUCCCUAGCUGG